AACGAACGCUGGCGGCAUGCCUAACACAUGCAAGUCGAACGAGAACUUCGGGUCUAGUGGCGCAAGGGUGCGUAACGCGUGGGAACCUGCCCUUAGGUUCGGAAUAACUCCCCGAAAGGGGUGCUAAUACCGGAUAAUGUCUUCGGACCAAAGAGUUAUCGCCUUUGGGUGGGCCCGCGUUGGAUUGCCUAGUUGGUAGGGUACAAGCCUACCAAGGCGACGAUCCAUAGCUGGUCUGAGAGGAUGAUCAGCCACACUGGGACUGAGACACGGCCCCGACGCCUACGGGAAGCAGCAGUGGGGGAUAUAGGACAAUGGGCGAAAGCCUGAGCCAGCAAGGCCGCGUGAGUGAUGAAGGCCUUAGGGUUGCAAAGCUCUUUUACCCAGGAUGAUAAUGACAGUACCGUGAGAAUAAGCUCCGGCUAACUCCGUG
rnacentral:rRNA from 1 species